rnacentral:rRNA from 1 species
UGGGGAAUUUUGGACAAUGGGCGAAAGCCUGAUCCAGCAAUGCCGCGUGUGUGAAGAAGGCCUUCGGGUUGUAAAGCACUUUUGUCCGGAAAGAAAUCCUUGGCUCUAAUACAGUCGGGGGAUGACGGUACCGGAAGAAUAAGCACCGGCUAACUACGUGCCAGCAGCCGCGGUAAUACGUAGGGUGCAAGCGUUAAUCGGAAUUACUGGGCGUAAAGCGUGCGCAGGCGGUUUGCUAAGACCGAUGUGAAAUCCCCGGGCUCAACCUGGGAACUGCAUUGGUGACUGGCAGGCUAGAGUAUGGCAGAGGGGGGUAGAAUUCCACGUGUAGCAGUGAAAUGCGUAGAGAUGUGGAGGAAUACCGAUGGCGAAGGCAGCCCCCUGGGCCAAUACUGACGCUCAUGCACGAAAGCGUGGGGAGCAAACAGGAUUAGAUACCCUGGUAGUCCACGCCCUAAAACGAUGUCAACUAGUUGUUGGGGAUUCAUUUCCUUAGUAACGUAGCUAACGCGUGAAGUUGACCGCCUGGGGAGUACGGUCGCAAGAUUAAAACUUAAAGGAAUUGACGGGGUCAUAGCUGUUCCU